rnacentral:tRNA from 1 species
UCCCUGAUAACUCAGUUGGUAAAGAAUCUGCCUGCAAUGCAGAAGACCUGGGUUUGAUCCUGGGUUGGGAA